CCCUCAGAGGAUUUCUGUGUUGCUUUUAGGUGAAAAUGAAACGUUUAGUUUAUAUUUUUAUUUGUUUUAAUUGGAAUUAACUCUGGAGACGAUGGUGCACACACAAACUUUGUGUGUUUUCAACGUGAGCCCGGGUUAAAUGUGACGGGAGGAAACAUUAGGAGCUUCAGCGUCUCACUGUUGUACGGACAGCAGCAGGAGGGGAGGAGCCAGAGCGAUGGGAGGAGCAAGAGAAGGAUGAGCGAGACACACACAGUUAACAUGGAGGAGACAGAAACAUCAACACUUCUCCAAUCCAAGCUAACCAGAGACUGACGUCCAAAACCUCUGUCUGAGGAUUUAACAGCCAAUUAUCAACUCAAAAGCAUCAGAAAUAAGUCAGAAUCAUCUUAAGCCAUGAUGGAUUUUUUUUUUUUUUAAAGUUCAGAGGUUUUGCAGAUCAUGUGCAAAUCAUCUAUCAGGGACUUCAGCAUUAUUAAAAAGGUCAGAAUGAAA